GUUUAUCUGUAGGAAGAUGCAUUUGGCAUGGGCCCUGCAAGAACUUCACAUCCAUCGCUGGAGCUGGAGGAGGAGAAGGGAAAGCAAACAGUGUUGGGUGUCCUCAGCAAUUUCAUCACUCUGAAUAAUGAGCCUACAAGCUGGCUGGGGAGCUCUCAAGGGACACCUGUGUGCAGGAGAUGGACACAACACGCAUCUUGGAUGGGCCAAUCGCUGGAGUGCAUUUUCUCUCUAAUUUUCUACAUCAGUGAGAACACAGAGCAGCACCAUCCAUCAUCAUCAAAGUCAUCUCCAGAAGCCACCUCCUGCCUCUCCAUCGAGGGAUGCUGCACCUCUGUGUCCUGCAUGAAGGCCACAGGUGGUACAACACAUGGUGUUGCAGGUUCCAUCCGACUGGGUGCUCUGGCAGCCAAGGGAACAUGA
rnacentral:lncRNA from 1 species